GUCGAGCGGAGAUAGUCCCUUCGGGGGUUAUUUUAGCGGCGGACGGGUGAGUAACACGUGGGUAACCUGCCUAUCACAGGGGAAUAACAAUGAGAAAUCAUUGCUAAAGCCCCAUAAGCUCCCGGCACCGCAUGGUGCAGCGAGAAAAUAUUUAUAGGUGAGAGAGGGGCCCGCGUCUGAUUAGCUAGUUGGUAGGGUAAAAGCCUACCAAGGCGACGAUCAGUAGCCGACCUGAGAGGGUGACCGGCCACAUUGGGACUGAGACACGGCCCAAACUCCUACGGGAGGCAGCAGUGGGGAAUAUUGCACAAUGGGGGAAACCCUGAUGCAGCAACGCCGCGUGAAGGAUGAAGGGUUUCGGCUCGUAAACUUCUUUAGGCAGGGAAGAAAGAAAUGACGGUACCUGCAGAAUAAGCACCGGCUAAAUACGUGCCAGCAGCCGCGGUAAUACGUAUGGUGCAAGCGUUAUCCGGAAUUACUGGGUGUAAAGGGUGAGUAGGCGGUGAGAUAAGUCAUAUGUGAAAGCCCCGGGCUUAACCCGGGGAUUGCAUAAGAAACUGUCUGACUAGAGUACAGGAGAGGUAAGCGGAAUUCCUAGUGUAGCGGUGAAAUGCGUAGAUAUUA
rnacentral:rRNA from 1 species